GAACACCAGAGGGAAUCAAGGCUUUCCAAUAACACAAUUUCUGUGAGUUAUAUUUUAGGACUGCUGAUGUAGCACAGAAAAACACCCCUUCAGAAAACUACGCCACGUAACUAAGAUAUAAGGUUCUGGGAUGAGCACUACUGAAUUAUAUACAUAUCCAAUUUUCUGUCAGUGUCACUGUAAGCACACAAUACAUGAUGUUUUAUAGUUAACCAAAACAAGAUUUUCUAUAGGGAUCAGUGAUUAAAUUAAACCACUGAUGGAUAAAGGGUGUUGGUUUGAUUGUUGACAAAUGUUAUUUCUUAUUUUUAGCUGAGGAAUAUGUGAAAUAAAAAUGAAAUAUAAACAUUUAUGUCUUUCCUUCGACAGUCGGAACAAGCGAAUCAGUAUUUGUCAAAGUACAAAAAACUGCAGCAUGAGUUGGAUGAUGCUCAGGAGCGAGCAGAUAUUGCUGAAUCUCAAGUGAACAAGCUAAGGAGCAAAACAAGGGAUGUGGCUGGAAAGCACAUCUAUAACAAUGUCAGAGGACAGCAAAAGAGUGGAGGACGAUGAUCGCGGUCCUGGUGCUGCAUAUCAGGCAUUUCUAAUGAUGGAAGAUCUAUUGGUCAAGUAAAAGUUACUCUGUUAUGAAGAGGAGGUUCUCAGAAAGCAAAACAUGAAACCACUUUCCAGGUCCGUGAGGAAGAAUAAACAGUCCAAAGAUGCAUCUGAAAGCUUCUAAACGCUGCACUGGUUCAUGUUACAUGGAAAUAAAAAGAAUUAAAUAUUAAUGAAAAUCA